GACUACGUGUACAGCGAAGGAGGGUUUGAGCAAGCAUGUUACGGAUGAAUCCUGGAGCAGCUGCCCUUAGAGCAGUUUUGCGGAGACCAGAACGAAGAACAUAUCAGGUUGCAGGUCCAAACUCAUUGUGGCACAUUGCUGGAAAUCACAAGCUGAUAAGGUGGAGGAUAGUCAUUGAUGGGGCUAUUGAUGGAUACAGUCGUCUUGUGGUCUUCCUUCAUGCCUCAAACAACAACCGUAGCAGUACCGUUUUAUCAAGUUUCAUCAGACCCGUGGUAUCCUAUGGUGUACCCUGGAGGGUCCGGACAGACAGAGGUGGGGAAAACAAUGCUGUCUGCCUGAUGAUGAACAUUUUCAGAGGCUUUGAUCGUGGAAGUGCCCUAAGAGGAAGGAGUACCCAUAAUCAGAGAACUGAGAGGCUCUGAGGUGAUCUGUGGCGAGGAAUGACCAAUGUCUACUGUGACUUAUUUCACCACCUGGAGGAGGAAGGCAUCAUUGACAUUGACAAUGAAAUGCACCUUUGGGCUCUCCAUUACAUCUAUCUCCCAAGGAUCAACAGAGAUUUGAAAGACUUCACUCAACAGUGGAACAAUCAUGGCUUGCGGACAGAGAGACACUUGAGCCCAUUACAGAUUUUUGUCCGAGGCAGCCUCCUGGUAGAACUAUGUAAUCCACUAAGUGGCACCAGAGGGAGUCAUGGUAUUGAACUCAUCACUGGCUUAAUAUACUUUCUGGACUCCACAUAUCACUGAGACAGUUCAAUUAUUGACUGAAACAUAAUAGCAGCAAGUGGAAAGACUUCAAAAUAUCUAGGUGACUGGAUACAUAUAAUGUGAAAAGUUAUAAUACGUGUUUACUAUGUACCAUUGAGUAGUGGAGAUACAAGAACGAGCUGUGUGACACUGACAAUAAAAAAUGUUGAGUGAUUUUUAAAGUGUGUAAGAUGGAAGUUGUGAAAUGGAAAGUUUACAACUGAAACUGAAUCUCGAUAAAGUCAACUUGAUCUAAAAGUUACAGCUGUUGAUUUUGAUAAAUACAACUAUAAAGCAGUGACAGUAAAUAAUUAAAAAA